rnacentral:tRNA from 1 species
GUCUCGAUAGUUUAAAGGCUUAGGAUGUUCGCACGGAAUGCAAGAGAUACGAGUUCGAUUCCCGGUCGAGACA